rnacentral:rRNA from 1 species
GACUGUACAAAGGUAGCAUAAUCACUUGUCCUUUAAUUGAGGUCUGGAAUGAACGGUUGAAUGAAAAAUCUACUUUCUUUUUUUUAAAUUAAAAAUUUAAUCUUUUAGUUAAAAAGCUAAAAUAUAUUUAUAGGACGAGAAGACCCUUUAGAACUUUAUUUUUUAUAUAAAAAAUUUUUGUUGGUUAAUAAUGUAAUUUUUAUUGUAAAAUUUUGUUGGGGUGACAGAAAAAAAUUAAUAACUUUUUCUAUUUAUAUCAUACAUACAUGAAUAUUUGAUCCUUUUUUAGGAAUAGAAGAUUAAGUUACCUAAGGGAUAACAGCGUUAUUAUUUUAGAGAGUUCAUAUCGAUAAAAUAGUUUGCGACCUCGAUGUUGGAUUAUAAUAAAAUAUAGGAGCAGAAUAUUAUAUUUUGGGUCUGUUCGACCCUUAAAUUUUUACA